UACGUAGGGCGCAAGCGUUAUCCGGAAUUAUUGGGCGUAAAGAGCUCGUAGGCGGUCUGUCGCGUCGGCUGUGAAAUCCCGGAGCUCAACUCCGGGUCUGCAGUCGAUACGGGCAGACUGGAGUUCGGCAGGGGAGACUGGAAUUCCUGGUGUAGCGGUGAAAUGCGCAGAUAUCAGGAGGAACACCGGUGGCGAAGGCGGGUCUCUGGGCCGAUACUGACGCUGAGGAGCGAAAGCGUGGGGAGCGAACAGG
rnacentral:rRNA from 1 species